GAUGAACGCUAGCGAUAGGCUUAACACAUGCAAGUCGAGGGGCAGCAUGGUCUUAGCUUGCUAAGACUGAUGGCGACCGGCGCACGGGUGCGUAACGCGUAUGCAACUUGCCUCACAGAGGGGGAUAACCCGUCGAAAGACGGACUAAUACCGCGUACACUCCAUCUUGGGCAUCCAAGGUAGAGGAAAUGAAAUUCGCUGUGAGAUAGGCAUGCGUCCCAUUAGCUAGUUGGUGAGGUAACGGCUCACCAAGGCGACGAUGGGUAGGGGAACUGAGAGGUUGAACCCCCACACUGGUACUGAGACACGGACCAGACUACUACGGGAGGCAGCAGUGAGGAAUAUUGGUCAAGGGGCGAGAGCCUGAACCAGCCAAGUCGCGUGAGGGAUGACUGUCUUAUGGAUUGUAAACUUCUUUUAUACGGGAAUAACAAGAGUCACGUGUGACUCCCUGCAUGUACCGUAUGAAUAAGCAUCGGCUAACUCCGUG
rnacentral:rRNA from 1 species